rnacentral:rRNA from 1 species
GGGGAAUUUUGCGCAAUGGGGGGAACCCUGACGCAGCGACGCCGCGUGGGUGAUGAAGGCCUUCGGGUUGUAAAGCCCUGUUGGGGGGGAAGAUAAUGACGGUACCCCCUGAGGAAGCCCCGGCUAACUACGUGCCAGCAGCCGCGGUAAGACGUAGGGGGCGAGCGUUGUCCGGAAUUACUGGGCGUAAAGGGCGUGUAGGCGGCCUUUCAAGUCGGCUGUGAAAUACCCCGGCUCAACCGGGGGGGUGCAGUCGAAACUGGGGGGCUUGAGUGCAGGAGAGGAGGGUGGAAUUCCCGGUGGAGCGGUGAUAUGCGUAGAUAUCGGGAGGAACACCGGUGGCGAAGGCGACCUUCUGGCCUGUUACUGACGCUGAGGCGCGAAAGCCGGGGGAGCAAAC